UACGUAGGGUGCAAGCGUUGUCCGGAUUUACUGGGCGUAAAGCGCGCGUAGGCGGUCUGUUAAGUGCAUUAGUGAAAGCUCCGGGCUCAACUCGGAAAUUGCUUUGCAUACUGGCAGGCUGGAGGGACGCAGAGGUCUGUGGAAUUCCUGGUGUAACGGUGAAAUGUGUUGAUAUCAGGAGGAACACCCAUGGCGAAGGCAGCAGACUGGGCGUUUCCUGACGCUGAGGCGCGAAAGCGUGGGUAGCAAACAGG
rnacentral:rRNA from 1 species